GACGAACGCUGGUGGCGUGCUUAACACAUGCCAGUCGAACGAAAAGAGGGAAAGAGCUUGCUCUUUCCGGAAUUGAGUGGCAAACGGGUGAGUAACACGUAAACAACCUGCCUUCAGGAUGGGGACAACAGACGGAAACGACUGCUAAUACCGAAUAAGUUCCAAGAGCCGCAUGGCCCAUGGAAGAAAAGGUGGCCUCUACCUGUAAGCUAUCGCCUGAAGAGGGGUUUGCGUCUGAUUAGCUGGUUGGAGGGGUAACGGCCCACCAAGGCGACGAUCAGUAGCCGGUCUGAGAGGAUGAACGGCCACACUGGAACUGAGACACGGUCCAGACUCCUACGGGAGGCAGCAGUGGGGAAUCUUCCGCAAUGGGCGAAAGCCUGACGGAGCAACGCCGCGUGAGUGAUGACGGCCUUCGGGUUGUAAAACUCUGUGAUCCGGGACGAAAAGGCAGAGUGCGAAGAACAAACUGCAUUGACGGUACCGGAAAAGCAAGCCACGGCUAACUACGUG
rnacentral:rRNA from 1 species